GUGGUUAUAGCUCAGUGGUAGAGUGCGUGCUUAGCAGGCAUGAGUUCCUGGGUUCAAUCCCCAGCACCUCCA
rnacentral:tRNA from 1 species